AUGCCGUGGCAGAGCCAGUCUUCAGCAAGUGGUGGAGCUAGCGGUGGUUGGAACAAUGAUGGGCCAGGACAGGGGACAGAGGAUAAAGGCGGUGCUGGCUGGGCAAAGGGAACGGAUUCCGGUGCUGGCUGGGCAAAGGGAACCGAAUCUGCUCCAGAUAAGGGUCAAUCGUCUAGUUGGAAUGAUUCUGCAGCAAAUGGUGCUGCAGGUUCGUGGGGCAAGAAAAACGACGGUGGUAGCAAAGGUGGAUGGUAA